AUCCAGAUGACGAGUCCCAAUAGGAUGAAAUGUGCAUCCUGGAU
rnacentral:hammerhead_ribozyme from 1 species